ACAAUGGGCGCAAGCCUGAUCCAGCAAUUCCGCGUGUGUGAAGAAGGCCUUAGGGUUGUAAAGCACUUUAAUCAGGGAAGAAAAAGCUCUGGCUAAUAACCAGAGCCUUGACGGUACCUGAAGAAUAAGCACCGGCUAACUCUGUGCCAGCAGCCGCGGUAAUACAGAGGGGGCGAGCGUUAAUCGGAUUUACUGGGCGUAAAGCGUGCGUAGGAGGCUUGUUAAGUCGGAUGUGAAAUCCCCGGGCUCAACCUGGGAAUUGCAUUCGAUACUGGCAGGCUAGAGUUCGGUAGAGGGUGGAGGAAUUUCCGGUGUAGCGGAGAAAUGCGUAGAUAUCGGAAGGAACACCAAUGGCGAAGGCAGCCACCUGGGCCUGAACUGACUCUGAGGCACGAAAGCGCGGGUAGCAAACAGGAUUAGAUACCCUGGUAGUCCACGCCGUAAACGAUGAGAACUUGGUGUCGGUUUGCUUAGCAAAUCGGUACCGUAGCUAACGCGAUAAGUUCUCCGCCUGGGGAGUACGGCCGCAAGGUUGAAACUCAAAGAUUUGGG
rnacentral:rRNA from 1 species